UCAGGACGAACGCUGGCGGCGUGCCUAAUACAUGCAAGUCGAACGGUCUUUCUAUGGAAGCUUGCUUCCACUGAGAAGAUAGUGGCGAACGGGUGAGUAACACGUGGGUAACCUGCCCAUAAGAGGGGGGAUAACAUCCGGAAACGGGUGCUAAUACCGCAUAGUUUUCUUGAUCGCAUGAUCGGGAAAGGAAAGACGGCCUUUGUGCUGUCGCUUAUGGAUGGACCCGCGGCGUAUUAGUUAGUUGGUGAGGUAACGGCUCACCAAGACGAUGAUACGUAGCCGACCUGAGAGGGUGAUCGGCCACAUUGGGACUGAGACACGGCCCAAACUCCUACGGGAGGCAGCAGUAGGGAAUCUUCCGCAAUGGACGAAAGUCUGACGGAGCAACGCCGCGUGAGUGAAGAAAGGUUUUCGGAUCGUAAAACUCUGUUGUCAGAGAAGAACAAGUUGGAGAGUAACUGCUCCAGCCUUGACGGUAUCUGACCAGAAAGCCACGGCUAACUACGUGCCAGCCGCCGC
rnacentral:rRNA from 1 species